rnacentral:rRNA from 1 species
CCUAGGGUAACACCGGUAAUUGGGGCUAAGUCGUAACAAGGUAGCCGUACCGGAAGGUGCGGCUGGAACACCUCCUUUCUGGAG